rnacentral:rRNA from 1 species
AUUGAACGCUAGCGGCAGGCCUAACACAUGCAAGUCGGGCGAGAGGGGGACGGGUGGGAAAUGUAUGUGGACAUGCCUGAUGGCGGGGGAUAACUACUGGAAACGGUAGCUAAUACCGCAUACCACCAGAGGAACCCAUAUGGGAUUAGCUAGUAGGUGAGGUAACGGCUCACCUAGGCGACGAUCCCGAGCUGGUCUGAGAGGAUGAACAGCCACACUGGGACUGAGACACGGCCCAGACUCCUACGGGAGGCAGCAGUGGGGAAUAUUGCACAAUGGGGGAAAGCCUGAUGCAGCCAUGCCGCGUGUAUGAAGAAGGCCUUCGGGUUGUAAAGUACUUUCAGUCGGGAGGCGUUACCGACAGAAGAAGCACCGGCUAACUCCGUGCCAGCAGCCGCGGUAAUAC